rnacentral:tRNA from 2 species
GUCCCCAUCGUCUAGAGGCCUAGGACACCGCCCUUUCACGGCGGCAACACCGGUUCGAAUCCGGUUGGGGACGCCA